AGCAGCCGCGGUAAUUCCAGCUCCAAUAGCGUAUAUUAAAGUUGUUGCAGUUAAAAAGCUCGUAGUUGAAUUUCGGAAUCUGUCCGUCGGUCGGGCUUCACUGUCCGUACUGGUGUGGUGGGUUCUUACCUUCUGAAUAACCAGCAUGCUAUUCAUUUGGUGCGCUGGGGAAGCAGGACUAUUACCUUGAAAAAAUUAGAGUGCUCAAAGCAGGCUAGUGCCUGAAUACAUUAGCAUGGAAUAAUAAAAUAGGACGGCAUGGUUCUAUUUUGUUGGUUUCUAGGAUCACCGUAAUGAUUAAUAGGGAUAGUUGGGGGCAUUAGUAUUCAAUUGUCAGAGGUGAAAUUCUUGGAUUUAUUGAAGACUAACUUCUGCGAAAGCAUUUGCCAAGGAUGUUUUCAUUAAUCAAGAACGAAAGUUAGGGGAUCGAAGACGAUCAGAUACCGUCGUAGUCUUAACCAUAAACUAUGCCGACUAGGGAU
rnacentral:rRNA from 1 species